rnacentral:lncRNA from 1 species
AGUAAAAUCUUUGAUUGUUAUGACUGGGUCGCAUCUAGUAAGAAGAGGCCAGGGAUGCUACUCAACACCUUCCAAUGCAACCCCCAACAACAAAGAAUUAUCUGACUCUAAAUGUCAAUAGUAGUGAUGACAUCACUCUUUAUUCUUCACUUCCAACCAUGUCAAAGAGGUCAAGGAUGUCCAUCUUUUCUGCCAGCUUCAACUGAGCCUGGCCAUCCUGGCUCAAUAAAAAGUGCUGUGGUUGAUUAGCAAUAUCUGCCAUGGGCACUGGAUUAGGAAGUGGUAUAUGCCUGUCAUGUGCCAUGCAUUUGCUAUUCCUCCUUUGUAGGUGUUCUCAGAGACUUGAGACAGAAAGUUCGUUCCAGGGCCAUGCAUGGUAACAUUGAGAAACUCAGAUCUAGAUAAAGAGGUGAGGAAAGUAGGGUCCAGAUGGAUGGAAGAGUCUAUCCUAAGGGAGAGGGCAGCAAUUUAAAAGUAUGGGUGGAAACAACUGGCUUUGAAAAGGUUCCUCAGAUUGUCUCGUGGCAACAGUCUGGGGAGGGUCAAGGACAGGAAGCAGGGAGGUUGUUGGAGUGUUUACAGGGAUCUGAUCAGGACAACUGUGUACUCACUGCAGGCCUGAGCUGAGGGAGGACAGAAGACCUGACAUGAUUUCAAGGAAGAGGUUUUGAAUUUUGGCUGCCAUUUGGGGCUGGACAUUCUAAACCCUGAAGUAAGACUAUGCUGGGGACUAAAUGGCCAUAGGACUGUCUCUUUUACCUAAGAAUGAGUAGAAAAGCCAUACAAGGAGUUUCUUCAUGGCUUAGCGGUUAACAAACCUGACUAGUAUCUAUGAGGAUAUGGGUUUGAUCCCUGGCCUCGCUCAGCGGGUUAAGGAUCCGGCACUGCUGUGGGCUGUGGUACAGGUCGCAGACGUGGCUCGGAUCCCACGUUGCUGUGGCUGUGGCUGUGGCUGGUGGCUGCAGCUCCAAUUUGACCCCUAGCCUGGGAACUUCCAUAUGCCAUGGGUAUGGCCCUAAAAAGACCCAAAAAAAAAAAAAAAAAAAAAAAAGAGAGAGAGAGAGAGAAAAGAAAAGAAAGAUCAUGAAACAGAAAAACCAACUCUUCAUCCAAGGGCAGGCAUAGAUUAUCCCAGAAAAUAGGAAUUUUGAAGACAUCAGAAGACAAAAACAAAGCUGCAUGCUGUUCAGCAUCUCUCAAUCCAGCCUCACAGUGCACCUAUGAGCUCAUGUGCUUACUCAAUCCAUUUCACAGAUGAGAAAAAGGAGGUUCAGCAAAAAAGGGCCAGUUGCCCUCUGUCAUCCAGGCAGCAAGCUGCAGAGGUGGCAUUUUGUCCCAACUGACUCCAAGUGCCCCUCCUUCCCCAAAGCCGGGCCAGGAGACAACAGGACAAAAGGCAGAUGGCAGUCAGUGAACUUCAGCACCCCUAACCAUCCACAAACUCUUCACUGGCAGGCAAUGAAUUUCCCCCAUCCUAUGGCUGUGCAGGGAAGGGGCUGGCGCCCCAAUUCUGCGAAGCUGUGUGUUAGCUGAAGACAUGCUGAAAGGUCCUUCACCCGAGAACCCCGGGUCAGAUGACUUAUAAGCCAGGAGCACGGCCUUUAUGCAGCUCCACAGCAGGGUGUUAGUGACGGUUUUGGCUGGCAUGAUGCCACGGUCUCAGCAAAGGGGACUCAGACAAGCAAGCAGAGGAGAGGGGGAAGCUGGUGGGAGAGGUCGGGGCAGCAGCUGUUGCAGGAAUCUGGGCCUCACCGAGAGGAACAAUGCCCCCGGAAUGCCAGGCGUGCCACCAAGACAGCUGAGCCUGCAGGGGCGGGCAUGGACAGCGGGCAUCUGAAGGGCACCAGUAAAAAUGGAAUUGUCUGGGUGCCUCGGUCCCCCGACACAGGCAAGGCAGAUGACCAGGGCUAAAAAUACCAGGAGAGGAAAAACCACCAGAGGGUUGUGUGACUGCCCAGGACUGGAUCUGAUCUCUCAGCUCCCGGGGGGGGCGGGGUGGGAGCCAGGACCCAGAUCCCUAAGCCCCCAAACCUGAAUAGCAGGGUGAGGAAAACUGCAAUGGUGCAGUUUGACAUUCUGGGCUCAAAUAUGCCAGGCACUAGCAGUGGGUGCUCAUGGGAGUGAUUGUUUUUCUCUGAACCUCAGUUUCCUCACCAGGAAGAUGGGUCUAAUACUAGGACCUUCUCACAGUGUCAUUGUGAACAUGAAAUAAGAUGAUGGCUAAAGGACUUUAGUCAGUGCCUGUCACACAGGGAGCUCUGGGUAUGUGAGACAAUACCAAUUUGAUUUCUCUGGGGACCUCAGUUUGGUGAGCUCCCAGUGCAGUAGUGGGCAGGUCUGCAUUCUUCAGGCCUUAUCAUCUACCCCCUAGGAUCUCAAAAGCCUUAUUAUCCUCUCAGGGACCCAGCGUGUGCCCACUCACAUUCAACCAGCUCCUGUGUGUCCUGCCUCCACCACGAGGCUGUCACUGAAGGCAGAGACAACUCGACAACUCAAACAUAUCCAAGUGUCACAAAGCAUCUUCUCCCAAGAGCUCUGCCCAAGGGGCCUGACAGAGGAGGUAGGAAAUGAGGCUGGAAAGGCAACCAGUAAUAAACAGCCCCCAACACGCGCGCGCACACACCCACACACACACACGAGUCAUGCUGCAUAUACUCUGUGCUGUGCCUGGCACUGUGCAAAGCCUCACACAAACUGCAUGAGCUACCAUGUGGAUGGUACUUGGAACGGUGCCUGGCACAAAGCAAACACACAAUAAAUGUUAGUCGCUACUGUUAACAUCCCAAAGAUCUAGUUUUAUUUUAAAAUCAAUCUUCUAAGGUCAGCGCUAUUGUUUCCCCCCUUUAUAUGCAAGGAGUCUGAGGUUUAGGGUAGUUAAGUCACUUGUCCAGGGCCCCACAGUCAAGGAUGUGAAGGAGCUGACCUGGAAGCUACCUUUCUGUUGGUCAGGAUCAAGUGGUAAAAGAUCUUAAUGAUUGGGCCAAGGAGGGGAGAUUUCCUUCUCAGGUAGUGGGAAGUCAUUGAGAGUUCCAGAACACAUGUAGGUCAUCAUCAAAGCUGGUGGGUAUAUGGGGAAGUACUGGAAUGGGGGUACGCAGAAGGCAAGGGUGGAAAGGCAAGAGUGACCUCAAACAAAACACCGUCUAUUAUUACAGGUCAGACCCGAGGCGGGACUUAGGAGAAAUGGAUUUGCAAGACAUGACAGAGGCGGAAGAGAUACUUUUCUAUGCCAAUGGAGCAGAAUCAAGAUGUGAGGAUUCUGGUUUGGUCGUUAAUAGACAAACGGUUUGGUCUGGUGAGAGGAGAGAAAAUGAAUUCAUCCUUGAACAUGGGAUCUCCUUUACCCCCAUCUCCCUGGACACAGCUGACAGCCAGCACUUUUGGAAUCAGAGCUGACACUUACCGAACAUUCACUGUGGGCCCCAAGUGUCCUAGCACUUUACAAACCUCACAAGAACACUUGGAGCACCUGGAAAUAAGGACUUCUCUUAUCCCCAUCUCACAGAUGAGGAAAUCGAGGCAUGGUCUGCUGAUGCUGCUUGCACUUCGUACGCAGUGGCAGCCCCAUGUCUGCUGGGCACAAGCCUGUCUACUCAGGUCUGAAUUGUUGGUGGCUUCCCGCUUGCUGGCUUUCACUGACACCUGCGGGCCCUGACACAGGGAGAUAGGCACUAUCGCUCGGUGACAGGGCCCAUCAGCCACCUGGCUUGGGCUGGCAGGGCCUGGUAUGCCUUUGUUCUAUUGGGAGAUGGCUGACUUCAUUACCCUCCUUAAAGGGGCAGUACGGGAGUUCCCAUCAUGGCGCAGUGGUUAAUGAAUCUGACUAGGAACCAUGAGGUUGCAGAUUCAGUCCCUGGCCUUGCUCAGUGGGUUAAGGAUCCAGCGUUGCCAUGAGCUGUGGUGUAGGUUGCAGACGCGGCUCGGAUCUGGCGUUGCUGUGGCUAUGGUGUAGGCCGGCAACUACAGCUCCGAUUAGACCCCUAGCCUGGGAACCUCCAUAUGCCGCGGGAGCCCUAGAAAAGGCAAAAAGACAAAAAACAAAACAAAACAAACAAAAAAAAACGGGCUCAAGGCAAGCCAACCCACUAAACCAGUUGCUUCCAAUGGUAUAAUGAUCAGCAUGUAUAUGGCAUAGUCCUGUGCCAGGUUCUGUCCUAAAUAUUAAUGUGUUACUAUAUUGACUUUAAUUUAUU